CCCAGCCUCAAAAGUAAGUCAGCCUCUUAGGUUUCUUCUCACAAAUCUAAGUUACACCUGAGAUCUGCCCACACCGGGCCUGGCAAGAGUUCACACCCUCUGACUUCUAAUUAGGUCGAAGUAGUGUCACUCCAGGCCUGGGGGAGGGGCUCCUUUCCUUUACCCCCCUCUAGAAAGAUAAAAAAAGGUAUCUCCAAAUCUCUGAAGUCCGAGGCCUAGCUGUGUAGUCCUGCACCUGCCAAAAGCAGGGUCUUUACUGCAACUCGACAGCUGCCCCAGCCCACGCGGGUGAAGAGGGUGGCUUCCAGGGCCUCAACUCUCCUCCAUGUCCUCACCAGAGCCCAGGAGGGAUGAAACUGCGUCACUUUCUUCAGGGGUGUAGCCACUUACCAGUGUCCACACUUUUGCAAACAAGCCCUCGCCACACUCGGAGUAAACAACUCUAAACCUUGAUGAAACACACUGGGUCGUCAAAAAACAAAACACAAAACAAACCAACACGAAGGUAGAAGGGAAACUGUCUGUCUGGGAAGAGGAAGAGGAAGAGGAAGAGGAAAAGAGGACCCAUAGAUGGGGUGACAGGUUGGUAGAGCAUGAAGAGAUGACGAGGCGUGACUUCUGAAAGGAGGCUGGAAAAGAUGCUUCUCCCACCUGGCUAUGAAGAAAUCCCUUCCGCAGCCACCCCACCGAGUCUGUGUCUCAAAUCACGCCAUGUGUAAGCACCCCUGUCAUCGUUUCCACCCAGCCUGCCUUCAGCCUGCUCAGCCCAGGGACCUGGUGCCUCAGACAAGGGGCACCUGAGAAAUGGUUUCUGCAGCUCCAGCUCCUUCUGCCUCAGUAGCUGAGAGCAAGACAACACAGAGUCAAGAAUGCCAUCCCAUACUCUCUGAGCCAAGACACACGGGGUGAGCCUAGGCCCUAUCCCAAAGUAUAUGAUAGACUCUUAUGAUUCCCCCCCCCCAAGGCCUCAUCCUCCCUGGGGAGCAGAAAGGAUAUGUGAUAGA